UACGUAGGGUGCAAGCGUUGUCCGGAAUUAUUGGGCGUAAAGAGCUCGUAGGCGGUUUGUUGCGUCGGCUGUGAAAUCCCGAGGCUCAACCUCGGGUCUGCAGUCGAUACGAGCAAACUAGAGUGUUGCAGGGGAGACUGGAAUUCCUGGUGUAGCGGUGAAAUGCGUAGAGAUCGGGAGGAACACCAGAGGCGAAGGCGGCGACCUGGACAGUUACUGACACUAAACUACGGAAAGCGGAUGGGGAGCAAACAGG
rnacentral:rRNA from 1 species